UCCUGCUCACCCAUGAAAGUUUCUAAAUACAGGAGCUCUGAUUCCAAAAUCAUGUCCAUUUAUAUUGGUUUAUCUUUUUAAGACACUUUAUUGUUUCAGAGCUACCUUGCCAUGAAGAUUCAUUACAUUUUCUUUGCUCUUUUCUUCCUUGGCCUGCUGUCUACCUCAGGAACUGAAGAUGCUUAUGAAGUCAUUACUAUCAUGGACUGUAAAAAUCAAACACUGUGUAGUUCUCAGAAUACAACUAGACACUGCUCUCAGGGGAAGGAGAUUGAACUAUGUGUCUUGCGUCUUGGAAAAAAUGCAAAGCAACUCACUAACCGUGAAGAAAUAGCAAAUUAGGAAGACAGGAUGAUCAAUUUCCUUGUCUUAUUAAAAAAUAAAGUCUGCUUUCUUUUCUCUCUC